AUGAAGCGGCGCCAAGGUUCUGGCAUUCUCUGUGACAAGAGAGUGCCACAAAAGCUAAAAGGCAAGUUCUACAGGACGGCGGUUCGACCCGCAAUGUUGUAUGGCGCGGAGUGUUGGCCGACUAAAAGGCGACAUGUUCAACAGUUAGGUGUGGCGGAGAUGCGUAUGUUGAGAUGGAUGUGUGGCCACACGAGGAAGGAUCGAGUCCGGAAUGAUGAUAUACGAGAUAGAGUUGGGGUAGCACCAAUUGAGGAGAAGCUUGUCCAACAUCGUUUGAGAUGGUUUGGGCAUAUUCAGCGCAGGCCUCCAGAAGCUCCAGUGCAUAGCGGACGGCUAAAGCGUGCGGAGAAUGUCAAGAGAGGGCGGGGUCGGCUGAUUUUGACAUGGGAGGAGUCCGUUAAGAGAGGCCUGAAGGAUUGGAGUAUCGACAAAGAGCUAGCUAUGGACAGGGGUGCGUGGAAGCUUGCUAUCCAUGUGCCAGAGCCAUGA
rnacentral:rRNA from 1 species